rnacentral:lncRNA from 1 species
AAGGAUUCCACGCCUUUGCCAACAAGCACUGUAGCAAAUUGGAAUUUCUCUCAUUAAUUUCAAUGGCUUUGUUUCAAGUCAUUAGUGAUGAGAGGACUUACCGUAUCUUCAAUUAAGACACACGUCACUUCAGACAUUGCGAUCUGGAUAAUGAAAGCCACCACAACAUGUUUCUCUGGAAACUGCAAUGCACAUGUGAUUUGAGUAUCUCUGGAUUGGCCCUAAAGAAGCAACAACAACAGUCAAUGAUUUACUUGUACUUCUGUCACAGAGUCCUCUGAUGCUUUAAGUGAGCUGGGGCAAAGCUCACACACGGGAAAGGAUACAUGCACAUUCAUGAGCAUCACAAACCAAAUCAACAGUACUCCAGUGUUUUCUGAGAUCCUACCUGCAGAAUUGCCUUCAGCUCUGGGUUCCCAGCACAAGAAGGACAUGAACCUAUUGGAGUGGGUCCAGAAGAGGGCAGUGAGGAUCGUCAGAGGGCUGGAGCCCUUCUGAUGAUCCUCUCCUUCUUUGAGGAGUCAAAUGAAGGGAGCUGGGCUUGUACAGCCUGGAGAAGAGAAGGCUCCAGGGAGAACUCAUUGCAGCCUUCCAGUACUUCAAGAGGGCCUACAAGAAAAGAUGGGGAGGGACUCUUUACUGGGGAAUGUGGUGAUAGGACAAGAGGGGAGAUUUAGGUUUGAUAUAUGAAAUUCUUCUCUAUGACAGUGGUAAGGCAGAGCAACAGGCUGCUCAAAGAAGCUGUGGAUGCCCCAGCUCCAGAGGCAUUCAAGGCCAGGUUGGAUGGGGCCCUGAGCAGCCUGAUAGGGUGGGUGGCAGUCCUGCCCACAGCAGGGGGAGUUGAAACUGAAUGAUCUUAAGAUGUCUUCCAACCCAAGCCAUUGUAUGAUUCUGUGUCUGAUUUGAAAAUGUCAACAUUCUGGCAGUUUAAAACCUUUCUCCCAUACACUCAAAAUAUUUUCCAAUUUGAAAACCCUGUCCAGUAUUUGUGUUUCCAAAACAAUUCAUAUUUUGUGAAAAGAGCCAUUUUUAAAAUAAAAUAAUUUUU